rnacentral:rRNA from 1 species
AUACGUAGGUGGCAAGCGUCGUCCGGAUUUACUGGGUGUAAAGGGCGUGUAGGCGGAGAUGCAAGUCAGGAGUGAAAUCUAGGGGCUCAACCCCUAAACUGCUUUUGAAACUGUAUCCCUUGAGUAUCGGAGAGGCAGCCGGAAUUCCUAGUGUAGAGGUGGAAUGCGUAGAUAUUAGGAGGAACACCAGUGGCGAAGGCGGCCUGCUGGACGACAACUGACGCUGAGGCGCGAAAGCGUGGGGAGCAAACAGGAUUAGAUACCCUGGUAGUCCACGCUGUAAACGAUGAAUACUAGGUGUGGGGGGACUGACCCCCUCCGUGCCGCAGUGAACACAAUAAGUAUUCCACCUGGGGAGUACGAUCGCAAGAUUGAAACUCAAAUGAAUUGACGGGG